AUGGCUCCACCAGCUCCUGCAUAGUCUCUGGUGGUUCCAGGGAGGUAGACGAGCUGUUUGAUGUGAAGAAAGCUUUCUACAUUGGCAGCUACCAGCAGUGCAUCAAUGGGGCACAGCACGUGAAGCUGUCCAGUCUUGAGAGAGAUGGAGAUAGGGAUGUCUUCCUGUAAAGAGCAUAUCACGCACAAAAGAAGAAUCUCCUCACCCUGGAGGAGAUCAAGCCCGCCUCAUCCCAGUGCUCCAGGCUGUACGCAUGUUUGCUGAGUACCUUGCCGGUGAGAACCAGAGUGACAGCAUCGUGAGAUGAGCAGGAGUGUCGAUGUAACCAAUACCACUUUCCUGCUCAUGGCUGCCUUUGUCUACUUCCACGACCAGAACCCGGAUGCAGUCUUUUGUCUACUUCCACGACCAGAACCCGAUGCAGCCUUGCAUACCCUGCACCAGGGCAAUGGCCUUGAAUGUACGACCAUGACAAUUUAGAUCCUCUUCAAGCUGGACAGGCUGGACAUAGCCCAGAAGGAGUUGAAAAGGACGCAGGAGCAAGAUGAGGACGCCACCUUCACCCAGCUAGCCACUGCCUGGGUCAACCUGGCUGUGGGUGGUGAGAAGCUGCAAGAAGCCUACUGCAUAUUCCAGGAACUGGCUGACAUGUGCUCCCCCUCACUGCUGCAGCUCAAUGGCCAGGCAGUCCGCCACUCGGCGCAGGGCUGCUGGGAAACUGUGAAGGGUGUGCUGCAAGAGGCACUGGACAAGGACAGCCGGCCACCCUGAGAGCCUCAUCAACCUCAUUGUACUGUCACAGCACCUGGGCAAGUCCCCUGAGGUGACAAACCAGUACUUGUCACAGCUGAAGGAAGCAUACAGGGCCCACCCCUUUAUCAAGGAGUACCAGGCCAAGGAGAAGGAUUUCAAUCACCUGGCACUGCAAUAUGCGCCCAGUGCCUAAGGUGGAGAUGCCCUGGUGGCCCCAACUGU